rnacentral:rRNA from 1 species
UAAUAAAUAGCCUCUUAAUUGGAGGCCAGUGAAUGGCAAGACUAGGGACAUCUGUACCCUGUAUAAAAAAACAACUUUUCAUUUGGGUGAAAAGACCCAAAUAAUGAAGGAAGACGAAAAGACCCCGCGGAACUUUACCUUUUCCAGUCUCCAUAUGCUCAGAAACAUAAGAACAAAGGUUUGAUUGGGGCAAUCUCGGAACCACCCAAACUUCCGACUAAUAACAAAAAGUAUACAAAACUCAAUAAGGACCAAAAAGAAGUUACCCCGGGGAUAACAGCGUAAUCCAACUUGAGAGUACACAUCGAAAGCUGGG